AGAUGAUCAUCCACACUGGACUGAGAUGUGACACAGACUCCUAUAGGAGGUAGUAAUGGAGAAUAUUCCAUAAUAGGUGAAAGCUUGACAAAACAAUUUUGGAUGUAGGUAGAAGGCCUACAAGUUGUGAACUUAUUUUCAUGUAGAAAAAGCAAUGACAGUAUAUGGGAAUAAGCAUUGGCUAACUCUAUGCAAGCAAUUAUGGUAAUACAGAGGAUGUAAGCAUUAUCUAGAAUGAUUUGACUUAAAGUAUUGGUAGUUAGCUUUUUAAGUUCCCCAUCAAAUCCCAGGGCUCAAUCCUGGAUAGGCAGUGGAAACUGUUUGGAUGUAGGUAGAAGGCCUACAAGUUAUGAACUUAUUUUCAUGUAGAAGAAGCAAUGACAGUAUAUGGGGAUAAGCAUUGGCUAACUCUAUGCAAGCAGUUAUGGUAAUACAGAGGAUGUAAGCAUUAUCUAGAAUGAUUUGACUUAAAGUAUUGGUAGUUAGCUUUUUAAGUUCCCCAUCAAAUCCCAGGGCUCAAUCCUGGAUAGGCAGUGGAAACUGCUGAAGUAUGGUAGGGGCAUAGGGAGUUUUCAGUGGAUUGAUGAAAUGCAUAGAGAUAGGAAGAAACAUUAAUAAUGAAAGAACUAUAAUAGGCCGACAUUAACACUGAGAGACGAAUGCUAAGAGAGCAAAUGAGAUUAGAUACCCCAGUAGUCCUAGCCAUAAACAAUGGAUAUUGGGCACUAUGCGUAUCGACCUAUAUAGUGUUGUAACUAACAAGUUAAGAAUCUCGCUUGAGGAGUAUGUUUGGAGGAAUGAAACUCAAAGGAAUUGAUAGGGGCCCGCACAAGCGGUGAAGCAUGUGGUUUAAUUUAAUGCAAAGUGAAAAACCUUACCAAGGCGUAACAUGUCGCGAAUCCUCAUGAAAGAGAGGGGUGCCUUUAAGAAUGCAGACACAGAUGGUGCAUGACUAUCAUCAACUUGUGUCGUAAGGUGUUGGGUUAAGUCCCACAACAAGCAUAACUCUUGUGUUUAGUUGCCACCUUUAAGUUUGAAACCCUUUACAGAUAACUAGUGAUAACCCAGAGGAAGGUAAGGAUUACGUCAAGUCAUCAUGCCUCUUAUGCCCUGAGUGACACAUUUUAUAAUGGCUGGGACAAAGGGUUGCAAUCUCAUUGCACUGCAACUUGCCUGUAUGAAGCCAGAAUAGUUAGUAAUUGUUAGUCAACCAUACGACUGUGAAUUCAUUCCUAAGCCUUGUACACACUGCCCAUCACACUAUAGGAGCUGGUCAUGCUCGAAGUCAUUACUUUAAUUGCAAAAGGGGAUACUAAAAGCAAGGCUGGUAACUUGAGUGAAGUCGUAACAAGGUAGUUGUACUAAAAGGUGAGGCUA
rnacentral:rRNA from 1 species